rfam:Joostella marina DSM 19592 genomic scaffold Joomascaffold_1, whole genome shotgun sequence.
UAUCUUUGCGCCCACUGAUAGAAAAUCUAUCAAAUACAUAAGAAUCAUUUAAAUAAUAUUGGCAUG